CGGCGAAGCCAUUGCGCGUUUGUCCCGGCACGUUUUCCGAUUUUGUUUUAUCCCGUUGUCCUGUCGACUGCGCCAGCCCGAGGAUCGCGCGCUUCUAUUUCCAUCGCCUCUCUCGACGAGCAGUGCGGAGAAGCGGCCCCCGCGGUAUGUUCGCAUCGGGGCUGCUGCGCCUGAAGCCGGUGUGCGGAUGAGUGUCACCGGCUGAGUUCAGUGGUGUGGCAAGUGCGACGGUGAAUUUGGAAAGUGUGCACUAUUUGGCGACGCCGGAUCUGUGUGUUUCGCGAAAGAGAUACCGGUGUGCUUACGAAAACGUCUCUGCUAGCCGCUGAUGCGCCAUGCAGCGAUCCUGGCGGACAUGGGUCUACGCGCUUCCGGCACCGUGAAUGCGGCCGCUGCUCCGAGUGCAUGCCAUGGCCGAUGCUGGGAUCAGCGUAGAAGACAGCAGCCGUGGGUGCCCGCAACGCUGCUCAGUGGUUUCCAUGCGCCCGGCAUCCUCGCCGUUGGGGCGAAAUCGACAGCCCGCUAGCGGUGACGCCGCCGCCCGCUCGUCGGCGUCCCAGCCGGAGCAGCCGUCCGCACGGCACUCGUGAAGCGCCUGUGGGCCGGGCCUCCGCCGCCCAACGGCGGCGAGAAGAGGCGGCCGGAGCCCGACCGGCCCCUGCUGCUUCAGCUGCCGGGCGCCACGGAGCCCUGCGCUGCCUUGGCCCCAAUGUUCCUGCACACAGCGAUGAGGUACUACAGGCUAUGGAUCUACACGUGCAACGUGGCACUUCUGCUGAGCGCGCUGGCGUUCUCAGUGGCGGCCGCCUGGGUGCUGUCCGACUACCGAGCGUCGCUGGUGCCAGGCCUGCGGCUGGCCGACCCGACCUUCGUGUACGCUGUGCCUGCGCUGCUCUUACAAGGCGGCUUACU